AAUUAUGCAAAUCUGCUUGGAAUACAGCAAAACCUCCUCCAUGCUUCUUCUAUUUGAUUUCUGAAAAACCCUUCAAUUUUCCCUCAAAACUCCAUCCUUCAAUUCAAUUAAGUUUUUCUCUUUCCAUAACCCAUUCAUAUACUGCAUCCUUCAUUCCUUGAUUUCAUUCUCCACACAUUGAAGGUUCGUCAAAAUCCUGCAUCUUCCAUUCAUAGUUUUUCUUUAAUUUCUAAAAUCAUUAUCAAGUUGCAAAUCAAAAGAUUCAACAAUUUCGGUAAAGACGCAAAAGCACUUCGAUUCAUAGAAUAAAUGACUCAAAAGGCCGGUGUCCUUCAAUAAAGGGUAUUGGGUAUAUGCACGCCGUUAAAAUAUAUAUUGUACUGUUACAUGUUGUUACAGUUUUUUAUUAAUGUUGAUCGUGUUUUCUUGAUGGAUUUGUGUUGCUGUCUUGAUAUUGGAGAGUUAUUUUUCCAAGUUGCUGUCAUGAAUUUUAAUCCAGAACUUUCAUCAAUAUUAUAGCAAGUUUGAAUUACUUUAGGAAAAUUUCCCAGGUUUAAUGUUCAAUUUAUUUUCGAUCGAAGAGAUGGAGCAAGGGGAAGACGGAAGAUAUUGUCUUAUCUAAGAGUUUUGAGUUCCCAAAUUACUUAUAUUUUUCAACAUUGAUUGUUACCCAUAUGUUUUUCCUCUGUAGACAUUGUUUAAAAAAGUUAUGGUUUUUUUUUUAAGGAAAGAGUUGGACUUUACAUAGUGGUGUGCAUUGUUCUUGCUAAAUUAAUUUAUUAAUUAAUAAUGUU